rfam:Myotis brandtii contig206943, whole genome shotgun sequence.
GGUGGUUCUCGGGUGACACACCCUGGAAUCAGGCUCCCUCCUCUCUGGUUCCA